rnacentral:rRNA from 1 species
AGCAAGUAGAGGCCGAUGCUGAGGUGGGAGAGCCCGUGGGGUUUGCCGGAGGGGGACAAGCAGCAGCCCAAGGCGCACCGCUGCAACGACCGCGUCGAGGAUGUCGUCCAGGCUGCCUUUGAAGGGAAUCCGUUCAAGACAGAUCCAGGUCCAUUCAAGGUCUUUUGGCAAUGCAUGCGCUCAAAACUUGGGUAUCCGCUGCUUCUCAUGAUCUCUGUUUUAAUGCUUUUGGUGUAA